rnacentral:misc_RNA from 1 species
AAGCACCUUGCCAGUUACCACCUCGCUAGGUUUCCUCUCUACCCUUAAGCGCACCAUCCCCAUUCUCCCCUGUUCCAAACCCACACAUAGAAUUUGGCACUGAAGAUGGGAUCACUAAAAUCAACAAUUCAUGCACUUACUCUGUUUUUAUCACUAUCCUUUGUUACAUGCAUCGCUUUUGCUGCUUCUGGCGGUAGAAUGGGCGGCAACUCUUUCUCUAAGCGAUCAUCUCCAUCAUCAUCUUCUCAUUCCUCGCAUUUCUCACCAUCAAAUCAUUAUUAUCAUCAUCAUUAUCGCCAUGGAAGUAGAGGUUACAGUUCAUUAUCAUCUCAAAAUGAGAAGAUGAAGAGGGGAGGAAGUGAAAUUGUUGAUUUUUCUACAUGGGGUGUUGUUGUUAUAACUACUGGCAUGGUAGGAGCUGUUGCAGUGGCUGUCUAUUUCGAAUAUACGAACAACAAAGGCAGCGUUAUAAUGGUCCAGGUUGGGUUAACAGGCAAGGCUCAUUCACUUCAAAAAGAGCUCAAUGAGAUUGCAGAAACAACAGACACUGGUUCCCCAAAUGGAUGGCAAUUCAUACUGACAGAAACCACAUCAGCUCUGCUUCGACGUCCAAAAUACUUUAUCUCUGGUUAUUCAUCUGUGAAACAGCAUUGGAGUGUUGAAAAUGUGGAAAAGAGCUUCGGAGAACUCUCAAGAGAAGAAAGAGGGAAAAUGGACAUGGAGUCUCUGGUUAAUGUCAACAAUGUCAAGAUGCAAAGAGCAGUUACUCCUAAAGCUAGCAAACUUGGCAAAGAAUACAUUGUGGUGACAGUCCUGGUAGCUGCUAAAGGUUCAUACAGGGUUCCUGCCAUUACAAGCAUUCAUGACAUGAAAGAUGCCUUGAGAUCUUUGAAUAUUGGUUCAACCAACCUUCUGGCUGUAGAGGUGCUGUGGACUCCCCAGGAUGGGAAUGAUACUUUGUCAGAAGAGGCACUGCUUGAAGAUUACCCACUUUUGAGACCUAUUUGAUUAUCGGGCAAUGUUUUUUUUUGUUCCAAAGUAGACGAAAGAGACGACACUUUUUGAAAGGCAAUGUUGUGAAUAGGAAGAUGAAUUCAUUUCAUUGGAAUUUUUAUCUCACAGGAUUGGUUUGCAGUGUAGUUUAUUUCUGUUUAUAUUCCAGAAAAAAUUAGACCGAGUCAAAAUGCACUCAUUCACUGUCAAUACUCAAUACAAACGCAUAACAAAUUUUACGAAUUCCCUUUUAAAAAAAAUUAGACCGAGUCAAAAUGCACUCAUUCACUGUCAAUACUCAAUACAAACGCAUAACAAAUUUUACGAAUUCCCUUUUAAAAAUUUUGAACAAUUUAUUGUAAGAAUAUUUUGGCAAUAUAUGUGGAAAGGAAAAUGAGCGAUGCUGAUCGGAUGACUAUCGAGUUAUUU